UUGACUUGAGUCAACUUGAGGGCAAUUGCUUCCUGCACCCAAUUAAUUGUGACUGACACCUGACGAACUUUUUAAAAUCCGAUCAUGCCCUUGUCUUCUUCAUUUUGAAAAAUAUUGUAUGUUGAGGUAGAGGAAGUUCAUUGUUGUGUGAAGCUUUAGUUCGCACCAUCUUCUAGAACUACCUCCACCUCUAGUAUGCACUAUCUUACAACAUAUAUAACAAAAUAACAUUCAAUCCAACAUAUAUAAAAAAUUAUAACACAUAUAGUAUAAAAAAACAAAUGAAAAAAAGUUCAUAGAAGCCAAGUGCCCUAAACUAUCUAACACUAAUACGGAUAACCAUAUCCGCAGAACAACAACAACAACACUACGGAAAAUUUUGUCCACAAGUCAAAUACCCCUUGCGAAUAAAAAUAUCCAGAGACCAUUCUUCCACAACUGUAAAAAUAUCCAAAAGUCAGUCCUGAACUACGGAUAAAAAUAUCCGGAAUGCAAUAGUGAACUAUGGAUAAAAAAGUGCGGAACUCAAUAAUGAAUUAUGGAUAAAAAUAUCCAGUAGGCAUGACAGAGUACCUUUCUCCGACGAUGGUUCCUUCUCCGACUUCAGAAGCUGACGGUGGCGACUGCUACUCUGCCUGCGAUGAUGAAGCUCACUGAUGGUGAAGGAAACCAAUGGAGACGACAGUGGCCGAGGGUGGCUGCGGCUGCUGCUUCAAGCACA
rnacentral:lncRNA from 1 species